CUACAGGGUAAUUAGAUUACCCUUGAGGUAUGUCUAUGUUUCUCAUACUUUUAGAUUUAAUUUUGAAAUUAAAAUAUCAGAUAAUAAAAUUAGAUCUAAUAGACAUCAGAUCUGAAAUAGUGUAGGAUAAAAUUUAAAAUUUAUUCCACCCCAGAUUUGUUGAAAUCUGGAAGAUCCUACACAGAGGAAAAGCGGUUUUCCUCCUUCAGCAAGUUCCUUAUGAA
rnacentral:lncRNA from 1 species